AUUGGAAAUGAAGCAAAGAAGAAACCUCCCUCUAAUUUUGUAAGCAAAUCCGUAAACAUUCAAUAUUUGAAUUUAUUUUUUCUUCUUAAAUUUACUAUAAUGUCUGAUAAAGAUUCAAUAAAUACAGUUAUUUAGAGACUUUGUUGAUACUCACAGCAGAAAAAUACCAUUUUUCCUAACUUAAACCUCUUCUUGAUGAAUAAAGUUUGAAUUUUUUUGUCCAUUUUUUCAGUCAAAAAAACUAUUUUGUGUGUUGAAAUUUGAUUAGCCAAGAAUUGGUUUUCUCACAACAAAAAACGGGGUCUGGGGAGGAUAGAGUGUAAACGGACCUUAUCACUAUUCUCUGAGUCACAGAGGCUGUUUUCGAGGCUUAAGAAUUGGUUUUCUCACAACAACAAACGGGGUUUGGGGAAGGUAGAGUGUACACAGACCUUACCACUAUUUUCCGAGCCAGAGAGGCUGUUGUCGAGGCUUAAGAAUUGGUUUUGUUGAAUUUAGUAAUAUGAAGUUGUCAUUGUUGUACACAGCUAAAACAGCCUAUAGGUUCUUGAGCUCCAAAGCUACAUGGGGGUGUCAAGUUAGUGCAAAGAGUAAGGUAAAAAGUUGUAGAAGUGAACUCAUAAGUACUAAAAAGCCUAAAGUGAAGUUAACUGAGCAGCAAAAUCAAAUCUUGGAAGCAAUUUCAAAUGGGAAUUCUGUUUUCAUUACUGGGUCAGCAGGGACUGGAAAAACCUAUUUACUUCAGCAUAUCAUCACUAAACUUAGGAAGAUUCAUGGGAAAUCUCGGGUUUUUGUUACAGCUUCAACUGGGGUUGCUGCUUGUUCCCUCAAUGGGCAAACCCUUAAUUCUUUUGCUGGAAUUGGACUUGGUGAUGCUAGUUCUGUGGAUUUGCUAUCUAGGGUUUCGUUGGAUAAGAGAGCGUAUCGAAGAUGGAAUAAAGUUAGGGCUUUGGUUAUCGAUGAGAUUAGUAUGGUUAGUGGUGAGGUUUUAGACAAUCUUGAGUUCAUUGCAAGGAGCAUUAGAAGUGAAGAACUUGGCUGUGAGGAGAAGAUUUGGGGUGGGAUACAAUUAGUUGUGAGUGGAGAUUUUUUUCAACUUCCACCAGUUAUUAAUAAGAAGGGACAACAGAAGGAAUUUGCUUUUGAAGCUGAUUGUUGGAAUGCUAGUUUUGACGAACAAAUAGAACUUAAAACUAUCUUUAGGCAGUCAGAUGCACAGCUUAUAAAACUGCUGCAGGGGAUUAGGAAAGGGAAGUAUGAUUCCGAGGAUUUGAAGUUAUUGGAUCAAUGUUGCUCAAAGGUGGAGCCAGAUUCUUCAGCUGUUCAGCUCUACCCACGGAUUGAGGAUGUGAGUAGAGUGAACGCUGAACGACUAGACUGUUUAGAUGAGGUACUGUUUCAUUAUCAAGCUCUUGAUAGUGGUAAAGAUCCUUGGAAGAAGCAGCUUAAGAAUGGAAUUGCACCUGAGCUGCUCAAAUUGUGUGUGGGAUCUCGGGUUCUCUUGACGAAGAACAUUGAUGUUGUUAGUGGACUUGUGAAUGGUGCUACUGGUACAAUCUUAGAUUUUGCUGUUGUUCAAGAUACUCAUAAAUUAUAUGACCGUGAGAUUUCUGAUAUUUGCGGAAAUGGUAACCUGCUACCUGUUGUUAGAUUUGAUUCUGGCCAAGAACUGAUGAUUGGUGUAGAAAGAUGGUAUGUAAUGGAGGGAGAUGAAGCUGUUGCAAUGCGAAAGCAAAUUCCACUCAUAUUGGCUUGGGCUCUAAGCAUUCACAAGUGUCAAGGGAUGACUUUGAACAACCUCCAUACAGACCUCUACCGUGUUUUUGGCUUUGGGAUGGUAUAUGUUGCUCUUUCGCGUGUUAAAAGCUUGGAUGGCCUUAAUCUAGUCAAUUUCAAUCCGUCAAAGAUCAAGGCAAACCCCAAGGUUUUGCAGUUCUAUGAAAGAUUGUCUGCUGAGAAAGAUGAACAAAAGGGAGACAGUGUAACUGAUGAUAUCAAAUUUGGAAGUCUCUGAUGUAAACCUCGAGUAAUGGUAGUAUAAUUCAGGGAAGUUCCUUUGAUGAUCUUAAGCUAGAUAUGUGUGUGGGAAGACAUAUAUGGGACUUUUAAAGUAGAAACAGAUCCAUUCAGAGCAAUCCCGGAAGACGUAACAAAGAUACAAUCUUUGGUCAUUCAAACCAGGGCAUUGAGUUCUUCAUUUCCUCCAGAUUGUCACUUGAAUCCCAGGAACACGCGAAGUAUCUCAGUUAUGUAAAGACAGUUUAUUGUAGAGGAAUGGAUAUACUCCUUCUUUACAAGACCUACAGAGGUGCGUCCUCCUAUGUGUAUCAACAUAUUUCUGUAUAUCUUAUUAGUAUCAAUGGAGCUUUCAUUCAGCUAUAGGAAGGGAUCUUGAUCCAUGACAACCUACUGUACUCUCGAUUGAGACUUUUGUAUAACCAACUGGAUAUUUCAGAUGAAUUAGUGGUUUAACAUGUUUUAUCGCCAAGCUCGUUCAUUGGGGCUUGGUGAGCCAGGUACCAGUAGCUGAAAUGCAGUUGUUUGAUAUGGAUCUUGCUACGUCAAGUGUAUAGCCUAUGAACAUAAAACAUUUGUAUGAUAACGAUAGAACUUGGAGUAUUUGUGAUUGUUUACGAGCUAUUGCAUAGGAACAGGAUUUAGCCUCACUACU